UACGAAGGGGGCGAUCGUUAUCCGGAUUCACUGGGUUUAAAGGGUGCGUAGGUGGCUUUAUAAGUCAGUGGUGAAAUGCCGCAGCUCAACUGCGGAACUGCCAUUGAUACUGUUUAGCUUGAAUCACGUCGAGGUGGAUGGAAUAUUACAUGUAGCGGUGAAAUGCUUAGAUAUGGAAUAGAACACCGAUUGCGAAGGCAGUUCACUAGGCGUGCAUUGACACUGAGGCACGAAAGCGUGGGGAUCAAACAGG
rnacentral:rRNA from 1 species